rnacentral:rRNA from 1 species
CUUCGGGAUGAAGACAGGAUCGGGCAGUGGCGGACGGGUGAGUAACGCGUGGAGAACCUGUCUUCCAGUCCGGGAUAACCUGGCGAAAGCCGGACUAAUCCCGGAUAGACUAAUAGCUGAGCAUUCAGCUAUCAGGAAAGGUGCUGUAAGCCAUCGCUGGGAGGUGGCUCCGCGUCGGAUUAGCUAGCUGGUGAGGUAACGGCUCACCAGGGCGACGAUCCGUAGCUGGUCUGAGAGGACGAUCAGCCACACUGGGACUGAGACACGGCCCAGACUCCUACGGGAGGCAGCAGUGGGGAAUCUUCCGCAAUGGGCGAAAGCCUGACGGAGCAACGCCGCGUGAGUGAAGAAGGCCUUCGGGUCGUAAAGCUCUGUCCUCAGGGAAGAAACCUUAAGGGAGGCAAUGCUCUUAAGCUGACGGUACCUGAGGAGGAAGCCCUGGCUAACUACGUGCCAGCAGCCGCGGUAAUACGUAGAGGGCAAGCGUUGUCCGGAAUUACUGGGCGUAAAGGGUACGCAGGUGGAUUACUAAGUCAAAUGUGAAAUACACCGGCUCAACCGGUGAGGUGCAUUUGAAACUGGUAAUCUUGAGUGCAGGAG